UGCUCUCUGUGCUCUAAUACUCUUUAUCAUCUCUAACUUGUAUCUAGCAUGCGGGUCCUUGAAUCUAGCCUGUGGUGGUACCUUUAUAGGACCGCUACUUGUCUUUACCUUAGCCCGUUGACUUCUAGCCUUGGGAUCGUACAACCUGUCCUUCACGGGUUUGACUUUUUUAGGUGACUUCUUUUUCGUCCCCCAAUCGGGAUCUCUAGCCUCAGGAUCUUUGCCACGCUGUUUAGCUAUGCCAGAGGUCGGCCCAUUUGGCAGCAAUGGCCUCUGAGAUUUUCUUUCUCUGCUCGAGGGUUUUGGGUGCUCGUACCCCUGGGCCGGACCCACGUGUCUUUUUUCUUGAUUCAAUACCUUCUUUAAACUCCUUACCGAGCUGUUGGUUGAUGACAUCGUAAGAGUCCCACUGCAGCUCU
rnacentral:lncRNA from 1 species